GACAGAGGGUGCAAACGUUGUUCGGAAUUACUGGGCGUAAAGCGCGCGCAGGCGGCCGUCUAAGCCCGCCGUGAAAGCCCCCGGCUCAACCGGGGAGGUCGGCGGGGACUGGGCGGCUUGAGGACGGCAGGGGCUGGUGGAAUCCCCGGUGUAGUGGUGAAAUGCGUAGAGAUCGGGGGGAACACCCGUGGCGAAGGCGGCCAGCUGGGCCGGCCCUGACGCUGAGGCGCGAAGGCGUGGGGAGCGAACGGGG
rnacentral:rRNA from 1 species